rnacentral:rRNA from 1 species
AAAGCGUGGCGUUGAGCUUAUACAUGCAGUCGACGAUGAACCACCUUCGGGUGGGGAUUAGUGGCGAACGGGUGAGUAACACGUGGGCAAUCUGCCCUGCACUCUGGGACAAGCCCUGGAAACGGGGUCUAAUACCGGAUACUGAUCCUCGCGGGCAUCUGCGAGGUUCGAAAGCUCCGGCGGUGCAGGAUGAGCCCGCGGCCUAUCAGCUUGUUGGUGAGGUAAUGGCUCACCAAGGCGACGACGGGUAGCCGGCCUGAGAGGGCGACCGGCCACACUGGGACUGAGACACGGCCCAGACUCCUACGGGAGGCAGCAGUGGGGAAUAUUGCACAAUGGGCGAAAGCCUGAUGCAGCGACGCCGCGUGAGGGAUGACGGCCUUCGGGUUGUAAACCUCUUUCAGCAGGGAAGAAGCGAAAGUGACGGUACCUGCAGAAGAAGCGCCGGCUAACUACGUGCCAGCAGCCGCGGUAAUACGUAGGGCGCAAGCGUUGUCCGGAAUUAUUGGGCGUAAAGAGCUCGUAGGCGGCUUGUCACGUCGGUUGUGAAAGCCCGGGGCUUAACCCCGGGUCUGCAGUCGAUACGGGCAGGCUAGAGUUCGGUAGGGGAGAUCGGAAUUCCUGGUGUAGCGGUGAAAUGCGCAGAUAUCAGGAGGAACACCGGUGGCGAAGGCGGAUCUCUGGGCCGAUACUGACGCUGAGGAGCGAAAGCGUGGGGAGCGAACAGGAUUAGAUACCCUGGUAGUCCACGCCGUAAACGGUGGGCACUAGGUGUGGGCAACAUUCCACGUUGUCCGUGCCGCAGCUAACGCAUUAAGUGCCCCGCCCUGGGGAGUACGGCCGCAAGGCUAAAACUCAAAGGAAUUUGACGGGGGCCCGCACAAGCGGCGGAGCAUGUGGCUUAAUUUCGACGCAACGCGAAGAAACCUAACAAGGCUUGACAUACACCGGAAAACCCUGGAGACAGGGUCCCCCUUGUGGUCUGUUGUACAGGUGGUUGC